rnacentral:lncRNA from 1 species
UGUGCCUCAUGGAGCUGUCGUAAGGAAUCAGUUGAGUAAUGUAUAUAAACUGCUUGUGUUCUGUUGCUGCUUCUUUUACUAUUUCAUCUCCCCUAAAGUUUUUUUCAUAGUUCUUACAUCCUUCUCAUUUCUUCAAAGUGAGAAUUCUACGCUCCAGCAAUAGCAGAGAUAGAUAACACAAAUGACUUUCGCCCGCCCAUGGCUGCCCAUGGACCAAUUGGCAUGUGCUUCCUUCCCUCUGAGGCCCAUAGAAGCCCUGGACUCAAUCUGACUCAAGGAGAUGAUGGGACUACCAGCUGCGGAAAGGAGCUACCCACUCCAAGGUCUCUGCUGAGAGCUGAACACUCAUCAAGACACCCUGCCUGCAGGGAGGAGUUACCCAAUGCAGGUCUCCUCUGAGCUGUUCCAUUGCUCAAUAAAACUCCUCUUUGCCUUGCUCACCCUCCACUUGUCCGUCUACCUCAUUCUUCCUGGACACAGGACAAGAAUUCGGGACCUGCAAAAGGGUUGUAACACAAACAGGGCUGAAACACAUCCCUUGCUCGCCAUAUUGUAGGUGACAAGAAGGAGAGAAAAGAGAAGGAGAGAAGAGCUGCAGCCCUUCUGGGAGCCCAGGCCUAGGAGAUCCCUGAGCCAGGGCUAUGACACCCUCUUUGGGGCUCUAUGGUUCCUGGUGUCUCCAAGCUUCCGGACGCCACUGCAUUCCUCGGUGCCAGCCGUGGAAGCUGCUGUGGUACAUUUGGUCCAGCCACAGCCUUGCAGGGAGCUGGCUCCCAUGCUGGUGCCUAUAGCUCCCCGCCCCACCGCUGCCGGCUUGCCUGGCCAUGCACAGUGGCCAGACCUCAUGCUCACUCAUGCACCCUUCGCCACUCCACACCUGGCCCGCCCUUGGCAGGUAUGGGAUUCAGGGAUCCAGCCCCAGCUGAUUGCAGCCUGCCAGGCCGAGUGGGUGGAAUGAGACCUGUGGGCCCAAGCAAAACUCAGGCAAAGGCACCACUGGCCACAUAGGUUUCCAGCUGGUGAAGUGACACCCCGAGAAUCCCAUGACAUUAUCAUACACUCUUCUUAAAAACUGAACCCGAGGGAAAAAAUGAUACCCUUGAACAGUGAGGCAUAA